rnacentral:rRNA from 1 species
GUAGGUGGCAAGCGUUGUCCGGAAUUAUUGGGCGUAAAGCGCGCGCAGGGCGGCCCUUUAAGUCUGAUGUGAAAGCCCACGGCUCAACCGUGGAGGGUCAUUGGAAACUGGGGGACUUGAGUACAGAAGAGGAAAGCGGAAUUCCAAGUGUAGCGGUGAAAUGCGUAGAGAUUUGGAGGAACACCAGUGGCGAAGGCGGCUUUCUGGUCUGUAACUGACGCUGAGGCGCGAAAGCGUGGGGAGCAAACAGGAUUAGAUACCCUGGUAGUCCACGCCGUAAACGAUGAGUGCUAAGUGUUAGGGGGUUUCCGCCCCUUAGUGCUGCAGCUAACGCAUUAAGCACUCCGCCUGGGGAGUACGGCCGCAAGGCUG